UAUAUAGUUAAUGUCAACAUUUCUAUAACUUCUUCUAGUUGAUGCACGGAUAAAUUAAAGAAUAAGCUACAGCUAAUUAAAAUUUAACUUUUACUCUAUAACCCCGAAUGAAGGAAAGGACAAAAAUCCAUUGAAGAAUUUGAGGACACAAAAGUGUUCUUUUUAUUGAAAAGUGUUUAUUGAUCAGAUCUUAUAACUAAUUUAGGCAAGAAAAAUGAAACAAGGAUUACAGGGGGUUUGGGGAUGGGAGGGUUGUUCUUAUGUAGGUAGUUUAACAACUAGUUUGGAGUUUAUCGCCUAUCUAAGGUAAAUAGCUAUAUUGGAAGUAUUCUUGUGGUAAAAUAAUAACUCUGCAGCUACCACUGGAGAUGCUCUUUUGUGUUUCUCUGGUGCAGGAACAUGAUCUAUCCAUGUAUGCAAUUACACUGUACGGGAAGUGUAUUCUCGUGGUAAAUGGUAAUACCGUAACCAAUGUAGGUCCCACAAGGGUGCUAUUUGUAUUUCUCUAAUUGGAUAAUUUUAGUACUGAAACAUGAGCUUUCAUAUCAUGCAUUAUAAGCCAUUGUUAUAGUAGUUUUCCUUCCCUUGUUACCAUGCUCUAUAAUAAUCUUCUUCUUCAUGCCCCUGGUACACAAACAGUCUUUGUAAUGAUGCUCCUGUGACCAUUGAUUUAUUCCUAUCAGUAUCAGUGGUGGCUCUUCCUGUGUUUAUCUUGUUGUAAAUUUAAGUUACUGUUUCCAGCAUUAAAUGGUGAAAUGUACCAAACCAAAAAGAAAAAAAGUAAAAAAGGGAGAAGGAUAAGAAAACAUUUAUAUCUGAGCUUUUGGUUUCACAUUCUGUCUGCAUAUUUAGUCUGUAAUUUGCAUUUCUUAUUAA
rnacentral:misc_RNA from 1 species